rnacentral:rRNA from 1 species
UACGGAGGGUGCGAGCGUUGUCCGGAAUCACUGGGCGUAAAGGGCGCGUAGGCGGCGCGGGGAGUCAACGGUGAAAGCUCGGCGCUCAACGCCGAGUCGGCCGUCGAUACUCCCGUGCUCGAGCACUGUAGAGGCAGGUGGAAUUCCGGGUGUAGGCGGUGGAAUGGCGUAGAGAUCCGGAAGAACACCGGUGGCGAAGGCGGCC